rnacentral:tRNA from 1 species
GGCCGAGUGGUGGAAUGGUAGACGCGGACGACUCAAAAUCGUCUGCCGAGAGGCGUGUCGGUUCGAGUCCGACCUCGGCCACCA